AUUUGUUGUUCUUGUUUUGUGGGAAUGUGUUCUUGUUCUUGUUUUGUGGGAAUUUGUUCUUGUUCUUGUAUUGAUUGAAUUCGUUUAUCUCGUUCUGAUUUUGUAGGAAUUAGUCGUUUUUGUUUUGUGAGAAUUUGUUGUUAUCUUAUGUCGAGGCGUUAUCUUUGUUGUUGUUAUCUAAUGACAGGGCGUUAUCUAUGUUGUUGUUUAUCUUAAAAUUAGUCUAUAUAAUACAAGUGCUUAUUUAAUUUUCUUGCUGUAAUUAUCUUAUUUUUCUUAUAAUCGUUAUAGCUCUAUGACAGCCUUCACUAGAUCUCUAAUCUCUUUUCCUCACCGACAGACCAUCUGCCACUCUGCACCAUUGAAGAGCAAUUUGCAGCCGUCGAGCAAUCCAUCCGCCAGAGAGGGGGCGAGGAGGUGCACCUGGGCAGAGAUGAAGAUUUGUGUAACCUUAUAUGUGAGGACGAGGAAUUUAUUAGCCGCGUCAUCAUACAGCCAUUUAACACCCAGGCGUCACGUGACCAGAAUGAUGUUCAUAACGCUAGCUUUCCCAGAGAAAGGAAGGCUGUGGUGGCCGUCUACUACCCGACGCUGUCUCACCAGGUGACCGUCCAGUCGAGGCCCAACAUCGAGUAUUGGUUCAGCAAACUCGGCGGGGACCUCGGUAUGUGCGUCGGUGCUUCAGUCAUCACUCUUAUCGAGGUCAUCUUGUUCCUGCUGUAUCUCCUGCUUCUUCUGCUGAAAAAGCUCGGCCGCGGAAUCUACUCGCUCGUGACCACCUAAUC
rnacentral:lncRNA from 1 species